CUUCAUUUUAUUAAAGAUUCCAUGGCACUUUCUUCAAGAAGAGGUGUAUUAACCUCUCUGUCUUGGCCAUAUUCCAUCUUGGGUAUUCUCAUCUAUGUUACUUUUAUAAUUCCGUUUAGCUCUUCAGCGGGGGAUAAGGAGGGCAGAAAAAACUGGAAUGCUGAAUAGUGUUAAAAAAGGCUCCAACCUUCUCCCUUCCUCAUUCAGAACCUUUAAAGAAGCUGUAAUAAUUCUGAUCAUAAACUUUAGAAUCAGGCUGUGGAAGUAGGAGAGAGAUCUAGGCCCCCUAAAAGUCCAGAGUGCAUGUCAGACCUAUCCCCAGCAGAAGAAAUUAGUCACUGGCAUUCAAAAGACUGUUAUGUGUUGUCCUCCUCCCAGGGACUGGUCCUGCUGAGCUGCAUGAAUUGUGAUAGUUUGGGCUUGGAGAGGUUUUGGCCAGCCCCCUUUGUUUUCCUUUACACCUUCUUAGAGUUUAGCUUCACAUCUCUCAACUUUUACAGGCUAUGUGGGGGCAGAGAAGUGUGUAUG